UUUACCAUGCAAGUCGGACGGCAGCACAGGGAAGCUUGCUUCUUGGGUGGCGAGUGGCGAACGGGUGAGUAACAUAUCGGAACGUACCGAGCAGUGGGGGAUAACUAAUCGAAAGAUUAGCUAAUACCGCAUAUUUUCUGAGGAAGAAAGCAGGGGACCUUUGGGCCUUGCGCUGUUUGAGCGGCCGAUAUCUGAUUAGCUAGUUGGUGGGGUAAAGGCCUACCAAGGCGACGAUCAGUAGCGGGUCUGAGAGGAUGAUCCGCCACACUGGGACUGAGACACGGCCCAGACUCCUACGGGAGGCAGCAGUGGGGAAUUUUGGACAAUGGGCGCAAGCCUGAUCCAGCCAUGCCGCGUGUCUGAAGAAGGCCUUCGGGUUGUAAAGGACUUCUGUCAGGGAAGAAAAGGGCGGGGUUAAUACCCCUGUCUGAUGACGGUACCUGAAGAAUAAGCACCGGCUAACUACGUGCCAGCAGCCGCGGUAAU
rnacentral:rRNA from 1 species